GACGAACGCUGGCGGCGUGCUUAACACAUGCAAGUCGAACGGAAAGGCCCUGCUUUUGUGGGGUGCUCGAGUGGCGAACGGGGGAGUAACACGUGAGUUACCUGUCCCUGACUGUGGGGUAACUUCAGGAAACUGGGGCUCAUACCGGAUAGGAUCUCUUGCUGCAGGGUGGGGGUGGGAAAGUUUCGGCGGUUGGGGAUGGACUCGCGUCUUAUCAGCUUGUUGGUGUGGUAGUGGCUUACCAAGGCUUUGACGGGUAGCCGGCCUGAGCGGGUGACAGGCCCAAUCGGGACGGAACUACGGCCCAGACUACUACGGGAGGCAGCAGUGGAGAAUGGUGCACAAUGGGCGGAAGGCUGAUGCAGCAACGCCGCGUGCGGGAUGACAGCCUUCGGGUUGUAAUCCGCUUUCGCCUGUGACGAAGCGUGAGUGACGGUAAUGGGUAAAGAAGCACCGGCUAACUACGUG
rnacentral:rRNA from 1 species